GUCUACAGCCAUGCCACCCUGAACGUGCCCGAUCUCAUCUGACUUCAGAAGCUAAGCAGGAUCAGGUCUGGUUAGUACAUGGAUGGGAGACCACCUAGGAAGACCAGUAUUUUUUAAAGCUGUAGGCU
rnacentral:rRNA from 1 species